rnacentral:rRNA from 1 species
CUUGGUCAUUUAGAGGAAGUAAAAGUCGUAACAAGGUUUCCGUAGGUGAACCUGCGGAAGGAUCAUUAGUGAAUUGAAUAUGUUAGCGGACCUCUUCGGAGUCCCUAGCAUCAAAUCAUAUCCAUAACACCUGUGAACUGUAAGGCUGUCUUGAAAACGAAAGUGAUUAGAGCGCCUGCCCAUUUUAUACAAACAUUAAAGUAACAAACGUAGUCUUAUUAUAAUCUAAUAAAACUUUCAACAACGGAUCUCUUGGCUCUCGCAUCGAUGAAGAACGCAGCGAAAUGCGAUAAGUAAUGUGAAUUGCAGAAUUCAGUGAAUCAUCGAAUCUUUGAACGCACCUUGCGCUCUUUGGUAUUCCGAAGAGCAUGCCUGUUUGAGUGUCAUGAAAAUAUCAACCUUGACUUGGGUUUAGUGCUCUUGUCUUGGCUUGGAUUUGGCUGCUUGCCGCUCGAAAGAGUCGGCUCAGCUUAAAAGUAUUAGCUGGAUCUGUCUUUGAGACUUGGUUUGACUUGGCGUAAUAAGUUAUUUCGCUGAGGACAAUCUUCGGAUUGGCCGAGUUUCUGGGGCGUUUGUCCGCUUUCUAAUACAAGUUCUAGCUUGCUAGACAUGACUUUUUUAUUAUCUGGCCUCAAAUCAGGUAGGACUACCCGCUGAACUUAAGCAUAUCAAUAAGCGGAGGA